UACAGAGGGUGCAAGCGUUAAUCGGAUUUACUGGGCGUAAAGCGCACGUAGGCGGCUCUUUAAGUCGGGGGUGAAAUCCUGGAGCUCAACUCCAGAACUGCCUUCGAUACUGGAGAGCUUGAGUUCGGGAGAGGUGAGUGGAACUGCGAGUGUAGAGGUGAAAUUCGUAGAUAUUCGCAAGAACACCAGUGGCGAAGGCGGCUCACUGGCCCGAUACUGACGCUGAGGUGCGAAAGCGUGGGGGAGCAAACAGGG
rnacentral:rRNA from 1 species